GAUGAACGCUGGCGGCGUGCUUAACACAUGCAAGUCGAACGGAAAGGCCCAAGCUUGCUUGGGUACUCGAGUGGCGAACGGGUGAGUAACACGUGGGUGAUCUGCCCUGCACUUCGGGAUAAGCCUGGGAAACUGGGUCUAAUACCGGAUAGGACGAUGGUUUGGAUGCCAUUGUGGAAAGUUUUUUCGGUGUGGGAUGAGCUCGCGGCCUAUCAGCUUGUUGGUGGGGUAAUGGCCUACCAAGGCGUCGACGGGUAGCCGGCCUGAGAGGGUGUACGGCAAAAUUGGGACUAAGAAAGGGCCAAGCCUGCAAGGGGAGACAAAGGGGGGAAAUUUUGCAAAAUGGGGGCAAGCCGGAGGAAGGGACGCCGGGGGGGGGAUGCGGGCCUUGGGGUUGUAAACUCCUUUCGCUGGGGACAAAGUGUUUUUGAGGGGGUACCUGGAAAAAAAGCCCCGGAAAACUAGG
rnacentral:rRNA from 1 species